rnacentral:lncRNA from 1 species
CUACUUCGAAGUCUCGACUUGGCUCGGUUCUUGACUUCAACCUUCUCCAAUCAAUUAAUGAAUUCUUGGAAAUUGAUGGUGCACCCGGGAUCAUAUCAUCCCCUCUCUCUUCAAAAGGAUUCGACCUCGAAUCCAAACCUUCAACUUCCAAAUUAUAGCCCUUGUUUCCAAUUAAUGCAAUGACAUGAAAUGGCCCACCGCCUCUAGGUUGAAACUUUGACCGCUUUUGAAUUCUUG